GCCGGACUGAGAGGUUGAACGGCCACAUUGGGACUGAGACACGGCCCAGACUCCUACGGGAGGCAGCAGUGGGGAAUAUUGCACAAUGGGGGAAACCCUGAUGCAGCGACGCCGCGUGGAGGAAGAAGGUCUUCGGAUUGUAAACUCCUGUUGUUGAGGAAGAUAAUGACGGUACUCAACAAGGAAGUGACGGCUAACUACGUGCCAGCAGCCGCGGUAAAACGUAGGUCACAAGCGUUGUCCGGAAUUACUGGGUGUAAAGGGAGCGCAGGCGGGAAGACAAGUUGGAAGUGAAAUCUAUGGGCUCAACCCAUAAACUGCUUUCAAAACUGUUUUUCUUGAGUAGUGCAGAGGUAGGCGGAAUUCCCGGUGUAGCGGUGGAAUGCGUAGAUAUCGGGAGGAACACCAGUGGCGAAGGCGGCCUACUGGGCACCAACUGACGCUGAGGCUCGAAAGUGUGGGU
rnacentral:rRNA from 1 species